rnacentral:rRNA from 1 species
GACGGGACCCGCACAAGCGGUGGAUGAUGUGGAUUAAUUCGAUGCAACGCGAAAACCUUACCUACCCUUGACAUGUCCGGAAUCCCGAAGAGAUUUGGGAGUGCUCGCAAGAGAACCGGAACACAGGUGCUGCAUGGCUGUCGUCAGCUCGUGUCGUGAGAUGUUGGGUUAAGUCCCGCAACGAGCGCAACCCUUGCCAUUAGUUGCUACGAAAGGGCACUCUAAUGGGACUGCCGGUGACAAACCGGAGGAAGGUGGGGAUGACGUCAAGUCCUCAUGGCCCUUAUAGGUGGGGCUACACACGUCAUACAAUGGCCGGUACAGAGGGUAGCCAACCCGCGAGGGGGAGCCAAUCCCACAAAGCCGGUCGUAGUCCGGAUCGCAGUCUGCAACUCGACUGCGUGAAGUCGGAAUCGCUAGUAAUCGCGGAUCAGCAUGUCGCGGUGAAUACGUUCCCGGGUCUU